UUAAGCGGAACCAUUUCUUCUGUCGAUAUCUCCACAAAGAAAAACUUGAAUAGUCUCGUUAAGAUCGGCCAAGAGAUACUUAAAAAACCUGCUAUCAGGACAAAUCUUGAGACAGGCGUUUGUGAACCGCUGUCCGAAGAAACCAACGAGCAAGCUCUUACAAGAUUUGCUAAGAUGCUGUCUGGAGAACGAAGGCUUCGAGAGAUGAGAUCACCGCUCACUAAAGCUAAAGAGGAGAAAAAAUAUUAUCUGUAGCUGAAUUUGAUUCUUUUAUAGCAAUUGUAUGCCAUGGCUUGAUGUUACCAAGAAAAAAAUAUGUCAUGGCUUGACAACAAUAAGUUGACUCUGUUCUCAGCAGAAUUCAAUAACGUAUGAACGUAGUAUCAAUGUUUCUUUUUUAAAAGUUUAUCAUCAAUGAUUCUGUUAAAUACGCUA